rnacentral:rRNA from 1 species
GAUGAACGCUGGCGGUAUGCCUAACACAUGCAAGUCGAACGACAGCACAGUAAGAGCUUGCUCUUACCGGUAGCGAGUGGCGGACGGGUGAGGCAUACAUCGGAAUCCACUUUUUCUUGGGUGAUAACGUAGGGAAACUUACGCUAAUACCUCAUAUGACCUACGGGUGAAAGCAGGGGAUCUUCGGACUUUUCGCGUCUGUUUGAGCCGUGGUCGCAUUAGCUAGUUGGCGGGGUAAAGGCCCACCAAGGCGACGACCCGUAGCUGAUCUGAGAGGAUGAUCCGCCACACUGGAACUGAGACACGGUCCAGACUCCUACGGGAGGCAGCAGUGGGGAAUCUUGGACAAUGGGCGAAAGCCUGAUGCAGCAAUGCCGCGUGAGUGAAGAAGGCCUUCGGGUUGUAAAGCCCUGUUGUUGGGAAAGAAAAGCAGCGGGUGAAUACCCGGACGUCCUGACGGUACCCAAACAAUAAGCCACGGCUAACUACGUG